rnacentral:ncRNA from 1 species
GUAAAAAGGCAAACCUGCCGAAAGGCAGGGACGCAAAGCUAAAGGGCCUGAAGCUCAUGAAACUUUUCAGGAGUAUGGUCGCCAGUUGC